rnacentral:rRNA from 1 species
UGGGGAAUAUUGCGCAAUGGGCGAAAGCCUGACGCAGCGACGCCGCGUGAGGGAUGAAGGCCUUCGGGUUGUAAACCUCUUUCAGCAGGGAAGAAGCGAGAGUGACGGUACCUGCAGAAGAAGCACCGGCUAACUACGUGCCAGCAGCCGCGGUAAUACGUAGGGUGCAAGCGUUGUCCGGAAUUAUUGGGCGUAAAGAGCUCGUAGGCGGUUUGUCGCGUCUGCUGUGAAAACUCGGGGCUCAACUCCGAGCUUGCAGUGGGUACGGGCAGACUAGAGUGCGGUAGGGGAGACUGGAAUUCCUGGUGUAGCGGUGAAAUGCGCAGAUAUCAGGAGGAACACCGGUGGCGAAGGCGGGUCUCUGGGCCGUAACUGACGCUGAGGAGCGAAAGCAUGGGGAGCGAACAGGAUUAGAUAGCCCUGGUAGUCCAUGCCGUAAACGUUGGGCGCUAGGUGUGGGGCUCUUUCCACGAGUUCUGUGCCGCAGCUAACGCAUUAAGCGCCCCGCCUGGGGAGUACGGCCGCAAGGCUAAAACGUCAAAUGAAUUGACGGGGUCAUAGCU